rnacentral:misc_RNA from 1 species
GUGAACAACCAGUUGAAGAUCUUCACCCCGGUCGGGAUGGCGAUAAUCAUGGUGGUGAUACCGAAGAAGGCGUUAACGUUCGCGCCUGCGCCCAUCGUGAAGAAGUGGUGCAGCCAAACGAUAAACGACAGUACGGUAAUACAGACGGUCGCCCAAACCAGCGAGGUAUAGCCGAACAGACGUUUACGCGAGAAGGUCGCUGCGAUUUCGGAGAAUACCCCGAAGACCGGCAGAAUCAGAAUGUACACUUCCGGAUGGCCCCAGGCC